rnacentral:rRNA from 1 species
AGUGAGAAUGCCGGAAUGAGUAGCGAGAAUUAUGUGGGAAUCAUAAUGGCCGAAAAUCUAAGGUUUCUUGGGGAAGGUUCGUCCGCCCAAGGUAAGCCGGGAGCUAAGGCGAGGCCGAAAGGCGUAGUCGAUGCACAUACGGUUGAAAUUCCGUAGCCGCCGAAAUAGUUAAGCACAGGGACACAUAGAGAUAUCCGAACCCGGGCGUUGGUUGACCCGGGCGCAAGGGACCGAACAUCAGUAGGGAAGUCGGAGAUGCUCUGUGGCGAGAAAAGCUGUGUGUAUUGAUUAGGCGCCCGUACCGCAAACCGACACAGGUAGAUGAGGAGAGAAUCCUAAGGCCAACGGGAGAAGGGUUGUUAAGGAACUCGGCAAAUUGACCCCGUAACUUCGGGAUAAGGGGAGCCUCCUACGGGAGGCCGCAGUGAAUAGGCCCAAGCAACUGUUUACCAAAAACACAGGUCUCUGCUAAAUCGAAAGAUGAUGUAUAGGGGCUGACGCCUGCCCGGUGCCGGAAGGUUAAGAGGAGAGCUUAGCGCAAGCGAAGGUUCGAAUUGAAGCCCCGGUAAACGGCGGCCGUAACAAUAACGGUCCUAAGGUAGCGAAAUUCCUUGUCAGGUAAGUUCUGACCCGCACGAAUGGCGUAAUGAUUUGGGCACUGUCUCAACAGCCCGCCCGGCGAAAUUGUAGUACUGGUGAAGAUGCCAGUUACCCGCAACUAGACGGAAAGACCCCAUGGAGCUUUACUGUAGCCUAAUACUGAAGAUCGGUAAUGCAUGUACAGGAUAGGUGGGAGCCAGCGAAACCCGGGCGUCAGCUCGGAUGGAGGCAACCUUGGAAUACCACCCUUGUAUUGCUGGUUUUCUAACCUGCGGCCAUGAAUCUGGUCGGGGGACACUGUUAGGUGGGCAGUUUGACUGGGGCGGUCGCCUCCAAAAGCGUAACGGAGGCGGUCAAAGGUUGGCUCAGCACGGACGGAAAUCGUGCAUAGAGUGCAAACGCAUAAGCCAACUUGACUGCGAGACCGACGGGUCGAGCAGGUACGAAAGUAGGAGUUAGUGAUCCGGUGGUAUGUGAGUGGAAAUGCCAUCGCUCAACGGGUAAAAGCUACCCUGGGGAUAACAGGCUGAUCUCCCCCAAGCGUCCACAGCGACGGGGAGGUUUGGCACCUCGAUGUCGGCUCGUCACAUCCUGGGGCUGUAUUCGGUCCCAAGGGUUCGGCUGUUCGCCGAUUAAAGUGGCACGCGAGCUGGGUUCAGAACGUCGUGAGACAGUUCGGUCCCUAUCUGUUGCGGGCGCAGGAGAUUUGAAGGGAGCUGUCCUUAGUACGAGAGGACCGGGAUGGACAGACCUCUGGUGCACCAGUUGUCGUGCCAACGGCACAGCUGGGUAGCUACGUCUGGACGAGAUAAACGCUGAAAGCAUCUAAGUGUGAAACUCCCCCUAAGAUAAGAUCUCCCAUCCAUUAGGAGUAAGGGACGACAGAGACUAUGUCGUUGAUAGGUCGGAAGUGUAAGUGCAGUAAUGCAUUGAGCUGACCGAUACUAAUAACCCGAGGGCUUGACUG